GAUGAACGCUGGCGGCGUGCCUACUACAUGCCAGUCGAGCGAACGGACGAGAAGCUUUCUUCUCUGAUGUUAGCGGCGGACGGGGGAGUAACACGUGGAUAACCUACCUAUAAGACUGGGAUAAAUUCGGGAAACCGGAGCUAAUACCGGAUAAUAUUUUGAACCGCAUGGUUCAAAAGUGAAAGACGGUCUUGCUGUCACUUAUAGAUGGAUCCGCGCUGCAUUAGCUAGUUGGUAAGGUAACGGCUUACCAAGGCAACGAUGCAUAGCCGACCUGAGAGGGUGAUCGGCCACACUGGAACUGAGACACGGUCCAGACUCCUACGGGAGGCAGCAGUAGGGAAUCUUCCGCAAUGGGCGAAAGCCUGACGGAGCAACGCCGCGUGAGUGAUGAAGGUCUUCGGAUCGUAAAACUCUGUUAUUAGGGAAGAACAUAUGUGUAAGUAACUGUGCACAUCUUGACGGUACCUAAUCAGAAAGCCACGGCUAACUACGUG
rnacentral:rRNA from 1 species